rnacentral:misc_RNA from 1 species
AACCGCCGUAUACUGAACGGUACGUAUGGUGGUGUGAUAGGUCGGAGGUUAAUCGCCCCUUCCUACUCGAU